CGGACCCCGCCGCGCCCCCGGCGCCGCGCCCCGCACCGCGCCUCACCGCGCGUCCCCUUCUCUCUCCGCAGCCCUGACAGUGUCUCCCACGCCGCGACAGCUUUCAAACCUACUUUGGGUCUUAAAACGAAACCGUACACCAUUUCACUGUGGACAUUACACCCUCUUACAGAUAUGGGAGACAUGGGAGACCCACCAAAAA